rnacentral:lncRNA from 1 species
UAAUGAUAGUAAGCGCCUCAGGGGGUUGCUGGGAGGGUUCAAUGAGUUUAUACACACAAUGCGCUUAGAUGAUGUUUGGUACAUGGAAAACACUAUGUAUUGGUAUUAGUACUAUCAUCAGUACUAUUAAUAACAGGAGCUACAAGAAAUUAUAAUGGCAAACUCUAUGACAAAGGUAGGUUCAAGGCUGUGAAUGGGAUUAGAGAACAGGGUGGUUUCUAUGUGGAGUAGGAAAAUUCCACUGGUCAGGAUGGUGCAGGAUGAUUUGUUUAGGACGCCAGAGGGCAGUUAAUUGUGCGUGUCCGAGGCUGGCAGCCAAGGGAAGAGGAGAUGACACGACAGAUUAUAUUUCCUUGGCUUGGCUUCAGGCUCCAUCCCUGUCCCAUGAAUCAGCACUGUCUGAAGGAUACAGGAUUGGCAAAGCAAGGCUUGCAUUUCACAUCUCAUAUACCUUAAUGGGCCUGAUUUUGAUCAAGAAGUUCUGGAGACUAAAAGAUUCAGAGAAGCUACAGAAACGCUGGACACCUUAGGACGGGAUUCUAACACAGCAAAAUGAUGUUCCUGUGGGAAAAUGAUGCUCACUGAUUGAAUGAAGAGAAUCCAGUCCAAGAGUGAAAGAGUGUGCUUAUGUUGACAUUUCUCUCAAAAUAAUGUAUGUUUAUUCUUUAUGGACCUAUAAUGAAAAAUAUCAAAUACCAAUAAAGCCUGAAAAGUGUACAAUGAAAUGCCAUACUACCACCACUUAGAUUCAGUAAUAGUUAGCAUUUUCUACAGUUGCUUUAUAAACAUAUGUAUAAG